rnacentral:misc_RNA from 1 species
GGAAAAUCUGCAUUCGGUAUCACUCGGAAAGGAAGUAGAACAGCAACUCCAAAGGAAGAUAACACACGACCCGGUGGUGAAAACUUUCAAUCCAUUUGCGGAUUGGAGACUUGUAAAGAUAAAAUCCAGGAGGAGUUUUGAGGUUUGAGGACAACCAGUUAGGCAAUAAAGGUCAGAAAUGUGGUUCUUCAGUUGGUGUUUCCGCCACAGGGAUCUGGUGUCAUCGA